rnacentral:rRNA from 1 species
GGGGGGGGGGGGGGGGGGGGGGGGGGCGGGGGGGGCGGGCGGGGAGGCCCGGGUGUGGGGGGGGGGUGGGGUGGCGGGCGGGUGAGUGACACGGGAGUAAGCUGCCCGUGACUUUGGGGGAACUUCAGGGAACUGGGGCGCAUACCGGGUAGGAGCUCCUGCUGCACGGGGGUGGUGGGCAAGUUUCGGCGGUUGGGGAUGGACUCGCGGCUUAUCAGCUUGUUGGUGGGGUAGUGGCUUACCAAGGCUAUGACGGGUAGCCGGCCUGAGAGGGUGACCGGCCACAUUGGGACUGAGAUACGGCCCAGACUCCUACGGGAGGCAGCAGUGGGGAAUAUUGCACAAUGGGCGGAAGCCUGAUGCAGCAACGCCGCGUGCGGGAUGACGGCCUUCGGGUUGUAAACCGCUUUCGCCUGUGACGAAGCGUGAGUGACGGUAAUGGGUAAAGAAGCACCGGCUAACUACGUG